GACGAACGCUGGCGGCGUGCCUAAUACAUGCAAGUAGAACGCACAGUUUAUACCGUAGCUUGCUACACCAUAGACUGUGAGUUGCGAACGGGUGAGUAACGCGUAGGUAACCUGCCUGGUAGCGGGGGAUAUCUAUUGGAAACGAUAGCUAAUACCGCAUAAUAUUAAUUAUUGCAUGAUAAUUAAUUGAAAGGUGCAAUUGCACCACUACCAGAUGGACCUGCGUUGUAUUAGCUAGUAGGUGAGGUAACGGCUCACCUAGGCGACGAUACAUAGCCGACCUGAGAGGGUGAUCGGCCACACUGGGACUGAGACACGGCCCAGACUCCUACGGGAGGCAGCAGUAGGGAAUCUUCGGCAAUGGACGAAAGUCUGACCGAGCAACGCCGCGGGAGUGAAGAAGGUUUUCGGAUCGUAAAGCUCUGUUGUAAGAGAAGAACGGGUGUGAGAGUGGAAAGUUCACACUGUGACGGUAGCUGACCAGAAAGGGACGGCUAACUACGUG
rnacentral:rRNA from 1 species